AACGAACGCUGGCGGCAAGCUUAACACAUGCAAGUCGAACGCCCCGCAAGGGGAGUGGCAGACGGGUGAGUAACGCGUGGGAACAUACCCUUUCCUGCGGAAUAGCUCUGGGAAACUGGAAUUAAUACCGCAUACGCCCUACGGGGGAAAGAUUUAUCGGGGAAGGAUUGGCCCGCGUUGGAUUAGCUAGUUGGUGGGGUAAAGGCCUACCAAGGCGACGAUCCAUAGUUGGUCUGAGAGGAUGAUCAGCCACAUUGGGACUGAGACACGGCCCAAACUCCUACGGGAGGCAGCAGUGGGGAAUAUUGGACAAUGGGCGCAAGCCUGAUCCAGCCAUGCCGCGUGAGUGAUGAAGGCCUUAGGGUUGUAAAGCUCUUUCACCGAUGAAGAUAAUGACGGUAGUCGGAGAAGAAGCCCCGGCUAACUUCGUGCCAGCCGCCGCCGUAAAAC
rnacentral:rRNA from 1 species